rnacentral:rRNA from 1 species
CACGUGGGUAACCUGCCUGUAAGACUGGGAUAACUCCGGGAAACCGGGGCUAAUACCGGAUGCUUGUUUGAACCGCAUGGUUCAAACAUAAAAGGUGGCUUCGGCUACCACUUACAGAUGGACCCGCGGCGCAUUAGCUAGUUGGUGAGGUAAUGGCUCACCAAGGCAACGAUGCGUAGCCGACCUGAGAGGGUGAUCGGCCACACUGGGACUGAGACACGGCCCAGACUCCUACGGGAGGCAGCAGUAGGGAAUCUUCCGCAAUGGACGAAAGUCUGACGGAGCAACGCCGCGUGAGUGAUGAAGGUUUUCGGAUCGUAAAGCUCUGUUGUUAGGGAAGAACAAGUACCGUUCGAAUAGGGCGGUACCUUGACGGUACCUAACCAGAAAGCCACGGCUAACUACGUGCCAGCAGCCGCGGUAAUACGUAGGUGGCAAGCGUUGUCCGGAAUUAUUGGGCGUAAAGGGCUCGCAGGCGGUUCCUUAAGUCUGAUGUGAAAGCCCCCGGCUCAACCGGGGAGGGUCAUUGGAAACUGGGGAACUUGAGUGCAGAAGAGGAGAGUGGAAUUCCACGUGUAGCGGUGAAAUGCGUAGAGAUGUGGAGGAACACCAGUGGCGAAGGCGACUCUCUGGUCUGUAACUGACGCUGAGGAGCGAAAGCGUGGGGAGCGAACAGGAUUAGAUACCCUGGUAGUCCACGCCGUAAACGAUGAGUGCUAAGUGUUAGGGGGUUUCCGCCCCUUAGUGCUGCAGCUAACGCAUUAAGCACUCCGCCUGGGGAGUACGGUCGCAAGACUGAAACUCAAAGGAAUUGACGGGGG